CUCUCUCUCUCUCUCUCUGUCUCUCUCUGACAGGUCUUGGUUCACCGCUGCUCUGUUGGCUGCUCCAGGUCCGGCUGACAGGUCCGGCUGCUCCUCAUCUCCGCCUCGCCAGCCGGCAGCGCAGCGCAGCGCAGCCCCCGCCGCCUCCUCCCCCACUCUCCCGUCAGCAUGGUCCACGGCUCCUGGAUCUAAAGCAGCCGCACCGUGCUGCCGCGGUGCACAGCAGCAGGUCGCAGCUAGCUAGGCAUCAGCGGCACCGGUCACCGGCGGCAGCGUACAUCACCGGCUGCAGCGUACAUCACCGCGCGCGGCAACGGACGCAGACAUGCAUUAGUUUGACGUCGAGACCGUUGUCGCGGAGCUUCUUGCUGGACGGAAGACCGGCACCGAACAUGCUUCGAGGGUAAGAAUCAUUCGCCUCGUAGGAUUUAUGGAUAUUAUUGCUUCUAUUGCAGAAUAGGGAGAGAGGUGAGGGCCAAGAGAAGCUCAAUACCUUCACGGGAUUAUGUCUCUCCCGCAAGUCAAAAGAAACCGGAAGGGGGGUGGGUCAACCCAGGCGCUGGCUUGAGGAUUGAUGCAUACAGUGGGAAGUUCAAGGAGCACAACGGGCCUGACUCUAAUCCGGCCUCACAGGACAUUGACACUACAAUUUCCCUCCAGUCGGGAGAUGGCAAGAAGGGUGGUCGGUUAUAUGUUGGCGACGGUGCCAUCCGUAAGAAGGACAUCCCAAAACUCUCUCACGUCCGUGCUACCACGUCGAGCUCAGGUCCUGCUAUAGAGCAUCGCCCACAGCCUGGGCUGCACAUGCUCCAUCAACUCGAGGCCAAUGCCAGGCUUCGAGAGGAGGAAGCCAUGAAAAUGCAGCAGGCCCUAUUUCAACAGCAAGAAUUCAUGGUUAAACAACAGGCAAUCCUGCAGGAGACAUUUGCUCAACUCAGAAAUAAUAUGCAGGGUUCCACUUUGCCCGUUCUUCCUCCUCUUCCGACUCUUCCUAAUUUCAACUUUUUUUCUCAGUCGGGACAAGGCUCCAAUAACUGUGUGGUAGGUGGAUCUUCACCUGGACAAGCAAGUCCAGUGACACCCACUACGGUUCAUGUUGCUUCGACCUCCCCGCAACACUGAUCACUUGAGGUUUGCAUUGUGGGCGUUGACGGUGGGCAUAUAUGCUGCGGUGGAGCUCAUUGGUUCAUGCUUGGUGUGAACUUGGAACUCAUGAUCCUUUAAUUUGUGAACCUCUCGUUGCAUAUGUAUGUAUGUUGUUGUGAACCUUCGUUGGAUAUGUAUGCACUGUGUGGACCUGAAACUUACGGUCCUUUCGUUUGUGAUCUUUUGUUGCAUACGUAUGCAUAUGUGGACUCUGCACUCAUGUACGGCUGGAUAUAUGUAUUACUUGAUAUAUGCUUGUUGGUCAUGGUCAUGUACUGCUGGAUACAUAUAUUUGUUGGAUAUAUGUGCUGCUGGAUAGAUGUAUUACUGUAUAUAUGUUGUUGCUGCUCCCUGAAGUGAUAUAUGUGCUGCUGGAUAGAUGUACUAGUGUAUAUAUGUUGUUGC
rnacentral:rRNA from 1 species